AGUGAACGCUGGCGGUAGGCCUAACACAUGCAAGUCGAACGGCAGCACAGUAAGAGCUUGCUCUUACGGGUGGCGAGUGGCGGACGGGUGAGGAAUACAUCGGAAUCUACUUUUUCGUGCGGGAUAACGUAGGGAAACUUACGCUAAUACCGCAUACGACCUACGGUUGAAAGCAGGGGAUCUUCGGACCUUUCGCGAUUGAAUGAGCCGAUGUCGGAUCAGCUAGUUGGCGGGGUAAAGGCCCACCAAGGCGACGAUCCGUAGCUGGUCUGAGAGGAUGAUCAGCCACACUGGAACUGAGACACGGUCCAGACUCCUACGGGAGGCAGCAGUGGGGAAUAUUGGACAAUGGGCGCAAGCCUGAUCCAGCCAUACCGCGUGGGUGAAGAAGGCCUUCGGGUUGUAAAGCCCUUUUGUUGGGAAAGAAAAGCAGCAGGUUAAUACCCCGCUGUUCUGACGGUACCCAAAGAAUAAGCACCGGCUAACUUCGUG
rnacentral:rRNA from 1 species